rnacentral:rRNA from 1 species
AUGAGGAGUCGGGGCUCACUGGUGCUGCUGACGCACGUCCUGCUCUGCCUGGUAAGCGGCGCUUACUCUGGCCGCAUGAGCUCCUACGUGCGUAAUGAGUUCCCGUCCGACGACAUUCCUCUAGAGCACAAGUCUCUUGAGGUUCCAAAAGGCUACAAUGCUCCACGGCAGGUUCAUAUCACUCAAGGUGACUAUGACGGGAAAGCCGUCAUAAUCUCGUGGGUUACCGAGUUGGAACCCGCACGGAGCGAGGUGUUUUACGGUAAAGAGGAGAAACUCUAUGAUCGGAAAGCCAAAGGGAGGAUGACGAAUUAUACGUUCUACAACUAUCGAGGAAUUAUCAAACUGUUCAGGUAUAGCGCCUGCGAAGGACUGACGUACCGCAUGUCGACAUACUUCAAGAGAAUAAGCAAAGGUCUAGGUUCUGCACCAUACGUCGAGGUCAGGGACACAAGAUUACCACAUGCAUGUGCUAAACGAGGUGACAUCCCUAAGGCUCCGAGGAAAUUGCCAAAGUGUUCGAAGUGUGUAGUGCUUGGUCACAGGAAGAAUGUGUGA